AGCGCUCAUGGAGAGUCUCCAUCCAGCAGCAUCUCUGUCUCAGGGAGACCCACCCGUCCACUUUUAUCCACCCCUCCACCUCCAUCCACUCUUCUCUCUCCUCUCUACCUAAUCCCAUCUCUUGUAAGUGUUGCUGUUCUGGUUCUACUGCUCUCACUGGUUCUCCUGGUGAGACGACGCCUCAGCAGGAAACCUGAAGACAGUGACCCAGCAGCACUCUAUUCAUCUAUGAGAAGAGCAGCAGACAUUCCUGAAGCAACAGACAGUAACCCAGCAACACUUUAUUCAUCGAUACAAAGAAGAACGACAGACAUUACUGAAGCAUCAAACAGUAACACAGACAGUGACCCAGCAGCACUUUAUUCAUCGAUGCGAAGAAGAACGACAGAAAAUACUGAAGCACCAAACAAUGUAACAGAACCUAAUCCAGAAGCAGUUUAUUCUUCAGUGAGGAGACAAAAUGAGGUCAUGUAUGGGGCCGUCAGCAUCAGGAUGAACAGCAGGAGAGAACCUCCAGUGCUGCCAGAGUCACACGUCAUCUACUCGUUACUGAAGUCCACCAUGACGCUGCCACAUCCGUCCGACCCGGCCAGCUGUUAACCGGAUCUCAUCAGAAACAUCUCAGCCGAGCAGACGGGUUUAUCUUCAGCUCCUAAAGCGGACCGGAGGCCUGGGACUGAUCUAAUCAACCUCGAUCCUGUUCCUGAAACGGUUCUGAUUGUUCUGUUCAGGUUUCUGUCUUAAUGGCAGAGAAAACAAGUCCGACCAGAGGCUGUUCGUUUAAUGGGUUUUAUUUAGUUUCUCUAUUUAUUGGAGCUUUUCUUUAAUGACAGGAAACCAGUCCUGGUAUUUUAAUCUGUGUUUGUUCUGUCUGGACAUUAAAAAUAACCUGAGAAUUAAAGCUGCAGACCUGCUGAUAGCGGCGAUGCUGGAAGAUAAA